rnacentral:rRNA from 1 species
ACUUACCAGGUCCGGACACAGGAAGGAUUGACAGAUUGAUAGCUCUUUCUUAAUUUUCUGUGGGUGGUGGUGCAUGGCCGUUCUUAGUUCGUGGAACUGAUCUGUCAGCUUAAUUGCGUUAACGAACGAGACCUUUAAUUAUUAAUUAGUUAAAUAUAUUUUUUAUAUACUUUAUUUUCUUCUUUUUUAAGAGAAAGAAAACAUGACUUCUUAAAAUAACAAUUGGUGAUUAACCAAAGUAAGUUAAAGGCAAUAACAGGUCUGUGAUGCCCUUUAGAUGUUCUGGGCUGCACGCGCGUUACACUGAAAAUAUCAAUAAGUUUUUAUAUAUCCAAACAAUAAAAUCUUUUUUUUCUUGUUUUGAUAUGUCCUUGAUUGAAAAAUUUGGGUAAACUUGAUAACUAUUUUCGUGAUGGG